UUUUUCUAUUGAGUUGUAUGUACAAUGUAUUUCUUUGUGUUGCUCUUGAAUUAUAUUCAGCUCUAAAAAGUUCUAUGUGAGCUUGCAUAUUUAAUACUGUAUAUUUAAAUCUUAACUUUCUUUUUCAAGAAAAACAUCUUGGACCCUUUUCCUUAAUGAUAUUAAGGAACUUCCAAAUACAUCCUAAAUGAUCACAUUGAAUUUCUGCAACUAUACCCUAAAACACUAAGUUAAUAUUUAUAUUGCAUUAUUUUUCAGGUGUGAAAAUGAAACCAAAUUCAAAACAGAAGAAGUAUUCUGGGCUUACAAUUUCUGCCCUUCUCCGUACUCCUGGACUGCACUUCUGGGCCUUAUUUUAUAUCUUGUUUUCUUCGCACCUGGAAUGGGACCAAUGCCUUGGACUGUGAAUUCUGAAAUAUAUCCCCUUUGGGCAAGAAGUACAGGAAACGCAUGUUCAUCUGGAAUAAACUGGAUUUUCAACGUUCUGGUUUCAUUGACAUUUUUACACACAGCAGAGUAUCUCACAUACUAUGGAGCCUUCUUCCUUUAUGCUGGAUUCGCUGCCGUGGGACUCCUUUUCAUCUAUGGCUGUCUUCCUGAGACCAAAGGGAAAAAAUUAGAGGAAAUUGAAUCACUCUUUGACAACAGGCUAUGUACAUGUGGCGCUUCAGAUUCUGAUGAAGGGAGAUAAGUGAAUAUAUUCGGGUGAAGGGAAGUAACUAUCAUCUUUCUGACAACGAUGCUUCUGAUGUGGAAUAAAUUUCAGCUGCUGAUAUAUUUAGUCAUUUAAACAAACUUGGGGGAGAAGAGCAGCAAUGGAUGACCUCACUGCCCUGCUUCUAAUCUGGUUCUUUCCACAGUCUAGUUUGGAAUGACUUCAUAUUCUAGAAUAUUUGAUUAGGAGGAAGAUACAACCAUGAUGACAUUGUUUUUUUCACAAGCAGAAAUGUAAAAAAAUAUUUACGGAGAUUUUAAACUAAUAAUUAUUGAGCAAAUAUGUGCAAUUCCUUCCUGAGGUAGUCUAAAAUGAAUACUGUAUCCAGUGACUGCAGUGGUAUCCUUUUUUCCUAAGACCAUAUAUAAUUAUUAGUGGCAGUUGAGUCAGUGCUGAUCUAGCCAAAUCAUAAUAUGUAUGAUAUACUUAUAAAGAAGGAUUCUGGGAUAUGAUCCAAGGGUGUUUUCUGUCAAAACAUGGCCUAUUGGCCCUAAAUUUUCCUAAGGACAAGUAGCUUAUCUGUGAUCAGCUAUUAGAAAGUAAAUUCCCUUUAAGCUUUCAUCAACAGAUUCGAAAGUGCCUCCUACAAGUGCACAGCUGUCCUUAUCUCCUUUGGAUUCCAUAUUUGGUUUCUCUCUCCAAUUCAGCUCUUGAGAGUUCUUCAGAAACUGACUAUGUACAGGCUAUUUUGAACAUUAUGAAAAGCAGGUCUUUUAGGGUUUAUUUUCAUACAUAUUUUUUUGCAGCAGUGAUAAGUAUACAUUUGCACAGAUAAGCUAACAAGUUUUGAUAAGUAUAUUUUAUUACUAGAAAGUAAGAAAGAGAAGAUUUUUCUGGACCCCUGAUCGAGUUAGUCACUUAGGUAUGCAACUUAAACACAAAAUAGAGCUACAUCUUCAACUGUAUUUCAGGGUCAGUUUUUGUUCAUGCCAGAAUCACCUGAUAUUCACCACACCUGCAAUCGUCAACUCUGGAGUCCUAUUUGUGCCUUCAUUUGUGUUAAAUAGCUGCUAGCAGACUAUUUUUCCCCCCUCUUUUAAUCAAUCAAAUUUCUCAAACAAAAAAGGAAGAAAAUCAGUGACAGAAAUAAUCCUGCUGUUACUGAUGUUUGUUUAAUUAACAAGUGGGACUUAUUUUUUUCUUAACUUAUUAACUCUUCCUAAUGGAACUGUCACAUUUUAUUACCUAAUAGUACUUUGUCUUUUUUUACUCUAAGAACAUAAACUAGUUUUUAUUUUUGCACACCCUGUCUUGUUUUCCCUGACAAUUUACCAAAAAAAAACAAAAAAGAUACAUAGAUUUGUCUGAGAGUGUUUCCUUUUUUCUCAUGGUUGGCUUGGAUUUUUUCCUUCUUGUCUAAAAAUUGGGAUUAUCUAUUGGAACAGAUUGCUGGUUCUCAUACAGCACAUAACUUUAAGAAAUGUUGACUUACCACAUGCCUACAAUGUCUUUUCAAAGUGUUCAUUGGUUUUUAUGCUCAUUCAUCAAGGAACUCUAAUUUUUGCUCUUAUAUUAAGAAUUAUAUAGUAUGUACAAAAUUAUUCAUAAAUUACUUAUUAGUUCCAGUGAAAAUAUGAAUGACUCACCUGUGGCCAGUUAGGAACACAUAAGUUUGGUGCAUGUUAACAUGGCUCUAAACAUUAAAUAAGGUACUUUUUGGAAUGAAAAGGUGGCUGUCUCUAAAUUCAAUGUGUUUCUGCCAGUCUCCAAGAUGUUUUGUUCUUCUCUUAAAGUCUGGCUUGUUCCUAUCACAGUUAUCAAAGCUGAGAAUGUAGCCAAGAAGGUUCAUUCUCUCAGCAACCAGGGGUAUGAUACGUGUUUAAACAGUCACUUUACUGGCCUAAAAAUCCUUCAGCCAAAAAAGUUUUCUCCCUUUGGUCAUGUCAUGUAAUAAAAAAUAUUUUUUCCUUCAAUUAGGUGCUUUGACAAUUGAUUUAUAAGGGGAUAGUAAUAUUAAUUUUUCUCAGAAAAGCAGAUGAGAUUUAAUGGAGAAAAUUAUUAUUCUAUAUUUCUUACCCCGUAAGAAAUUUCUUAUCUGUGUAAUAUUUCUCACAGAUCAAGUGAAGUGGCAAACAAGCUACUGUGUGGUAAAAUCAGAAUAUGAUGGGGAGAAAAAAUAUUUAGACCAAUAAAGUGCCCUCUUUAAAAAUUUAUGUUUCUGAUUUAUCCAAGUAAUUGCCUCAAUUCUUCUCUUUAUUGUAUAUAUAGCCUUAACUAUAUGCUUAUAUACUCAGCUGGGCUGAAUGCACAGUAACUUUAUUAAAGGAGCAACUCGACUCUUAUUAUUUCCUAAAGCAGAACAUGGCCUGUUCUCCCUGACAUAAGCAAAUGGUGUUUGCAACUUUCCAUCCAUAAAUGCACAUAACAGGGAAAAUCAGCCACAGUUCUCCUCCCCUAUUCUCCUCAACUUCUUCUUUAAAGGACUAUUUGUUAUUUAUAUAAUGAUAAAGAUAGAUAAUAUUCCAUAUCUUUGAAGUACAAGACAGAGAGGCAUAGUUAUAAGAAUUAUUUAUAAUUUUUUAAAAACAAAUAACUACUUGAAAAGGAACCUUAUAAAAUUAGGGUAUUAUUUUUAGAUUCAGUGAACAUUUAUAGUAUAUUAAAAAUUGAAUGUUUGAAUUUUGCAGGCUUUUUUAUAUUACGCACCUUUUAAGUUCUCAGAGUCUUUGGCUACCACUAUCAACUUGAAAACAUUCCAUUUUCAUUCUGAAACAUCAUCAAAUACAUAUUUUAUAGGACGAUUUGUUUAUAUGUGUUAUAUUUGACUUACCAUAUUAAAGCACAUUAAGCAUCAUGCUUUUAACUGAAAUUAUAGGUUUCCUUCUAAACAUGCUGCAGAUUCAACAGAGGUAUAUUAUGUUUUAGGGAAAUUUAGUGAAGGAGGUCAUCACCCCUAUUGAGGCUUAGCCUGGAUGGCUGAUGAGAUCUGCACUAGACUUAAGAGAAUAUAGCAUUUCAUCUGCAUCUGAACACAUAAGGCUGAAUGUGAUGUCAGAUAGGUUUUACACAUUUGGUAUUAAUAUUUUUCUUCAAUAUAAACAUUCCUAAUAAUUUUAAUUGUUGCACCUUAGUCAAUAAUUAUCCAAGACAUGAUUUUUAAUAUGUAUCUAAAGAUCUAAAUUAAAAUUAGACUUAAAAUGUAGUAUUUCCAUUUGAAUUUUGUUCCCAGUCAUAUGCGGUAGUUAGUUCCCUGAUGGAAAAUGCUAUGAGAGUAAUGCUAUCAAGUGCUUUUUCAUAAUUUUAUUUUACCACUGAACCAGAUUUUAGUAUAUGUCUAAACAUUAUUUUUUAAGUUAUUCACUCAUGGUAAAUCCAUUAAAGCAAAGAAUUUAUAAAUUGUUUACUAUAAUUUCAAAAUCAGUUAUCCAGAGGAAGAAUGAAGAGGAAAAAUGUAAGUUGACAACUUACCCUUUUGCUUUUACACAGAAAGUAAAAUUGAAAUGUAUUCUAAUAAUCCACAGAUCCUGGGGGAGGACAGUCUAGAAAAUACUAUCCAUAUGUUAUCUAAGAGAGUCUCAAUUUAUAAACUUUAUCAGUGUCAUUAAAUACUGUAAUACAGUGAGGGGAGUGGGAGGAUUCUUUUGAUUUUAUUUCAUUGGCAUAGUAAUUAAGAACAAUAAAAUUAAUGAGAUGUUUUGUUAUAAUCAGAUUUUUUUUUUUUACCAUUCUCCUAGUUAUAAAAUCUUAAAUUAUACUAAGCACAUAACAACUCAGAUUUAUACAGUUAUUGGGACAAGUUUUAAAUUACCAAUUUCAGACCUUUGCACUAACUAUGAAUAAAAGAAUGACAUAACAGGUCAGAGCAGAGAAUUCAUAAUUUGUGCUUUAUAGCAAAACAUAUUAAAUUGUGGAUAAAAUUUACAGCUCAUGUGUAGCUGCUGCCUAUAAAAGACUCAGAGGUGUUCUCUGGAUUAACAUUAAUAUCCUAUUUUCUGUCCUUUUCUAUCAGUUGUCUUAGCCUCAUGUACAGUAAUGUUAAGCUAAUUUGAUGAAGUGAUUUAGGUUGUAGCAGCGUAUCAAUUAUCAGUACAUUCAGUUCUUCUGGGUGAGCAGUAUUGCUACUAUUUUCUAGAAAGGGUAAUCAUUUUAAAAUGCCAAACAGCUAACUGCUACCAACUCUCUUAUAUAUUGUCUCCUAGAGAAGGAAAUUUUUGUCUGCCUAUAUACAUCAGAAAGAUAGUUCCUAAGAGUAUUAAUGACGUUCAGAAGUACAUGAAUUUUAUCCUCAUAAUUUGCUUGUGAGUGUAAAACAAUGUAAUUCCUAUAAAACUUUACUUUGUAUGUAUAAAACAGUCUGUUGCACUUGAGUGAUUUGGUCUUUGGAAUGUUAAAUACUUACUUUCAUUUAGCAGUAAUAUUCAGAUUUUUAUUUUAGACAGUUAAGUUCAUGUGUUUGAUUUUGUCACAUCAGUAUAAAUGAGAAAAAGAAAUACAGCUUACAAGUACUCAAAAAUAAAAACCAGUAUUUUGUAAAGUUUUAAAAUGUUAGCAAAUUUAACAUCAUUCCAUCUUAUUUGAAGGUUAAAAAAGAUGAGAUUUAACUCUAGCCAAAGUAGAAAUUUAUAUUCUACAUGUCCAAACUGGUUCCUAGCGGCUUUUGGACUAUAUCUCACUUGAUGUUAUAGUAUCUCUUAUUUGUAAUAAAUGUUCAAAUUUCUAUUUAGAAGCGCUAAUGUACAUCUAGAUUAAAUCAAAACACAGUUUUAUGCUUUUAAAAUGUUUUCAAAAUAUAUAUUUUAAUUUCUAGGUGCAUGUUACAUAGUGUUUAACACUUCACAUGUCUUGGCAAAUUCAAUAUAAAUAUUUAUUCCUACACGUGACAUAUGGGAUAUCUCUUAAAAAUUAUGAAUAUUUAUCAUUUUUUCCCUUCAAAGUCAUUCUAGCCUAUAGCUGUAUCAAAAAGUAUUGUAUAUUUUAUGGAGAUUUAGUGAUGUAUAUGUAAAUGUUUUUUAAGUUAUUUUAUUGAAGUUCAAUCUUUACAUAAAAUGAAAAUCUUUUUUUAAAAAAAGUGUCAGUGCCAGAACUGUAAAUGAAAAUAAUCAAAUAAAAGUUAAGACAAUUCAUUACUCAUA